AUGAUUUGUCUAAGCUGGAACUGCCGGGGGCUUGGGAACCCCGAGGCAGUUCGUGAGCUUCGCAAUGUGGUGAAGCAAGAAGGUUCCGCCCUUCUCUUUGUGAUGGAAACAAAGAUUAGGGCAGAGAGAGUGGAGAAUCUAAAACUCACUUUAGGUUUCUCUGGAUGCUUUGCGGUCAACAGUCAGGGGCUAUGUGGAGGCAUAGGCCUGUUCUGGUCCAAAGAUGUGUCUGCUGAGCUGAAGAACUACAGUACCGGCCACAUCGAUGUUGUGGUGCGGAGAGUUGAUCAUGACUCCAAUGUCUGGAGGUUUACGGGCUUCUAUGGUGCCCCUAGAGCAGAGGAACGACAUCACAGCCGGCGCUUCCUAAGGACCCUGUACUCAAUAUCGCAUGAGGCGUGGAUUUGCAUGGGAGACUUCAAUGAGAUGCUGUACGCUGAUGAGCACUUUAGCCGGUCAGCUCGAUCUGAACGGCAAAUGCGAGCAUUUCGAGAAGCUGUCGAAGAUUGUGCUCUCCAAGAUCUUGGAUGGACGGGUGUUCCUUUCACAUAG
rnacentral:rRNA from 1 species